AUGGAGGAGCUGGACAUGGAUGGCGAGAAGGCGGCCAAACCCGAGUUUGCCUACCCCUACUGCUAUGAGGACCAUGAGGUCGCCUCCUUGUGCGCGCAUGUAGAAGAGGAGCACCCAUUGGAGUGGAGAUAUAGUUUGCACAAUGUUCUAGUCCAGCAAAAUUUUGCAACUAUGGCCCAUAGGGCCAUGCUAAUUAGUGCUAGCCAUGAUCAGGAGUAA
rnacentral:rRNA from 1 species